CCUAGCCAGAUUUCUUCGUUGUUUAACAGUUCCAAAAUGUUCAAACUCGUCUUGGUUUUUUCUCUUUGUUACAUCGCUGCAGAUUGCAGACAUCUGAAACGAAGUUUCGGCUGUGAUAGUGCCUUAGCAUGUAUCGGAAGUUAUAGACAAGAUAACUCAGAGAAACUCAGCAUCGAACAGUAUUGUGAGAGAGCCAGAGCCGCCGUCUCCUGUUACCUUCAUGUUGAGGACCAAUGCGACGACAAAGAUCUCAAAUAUAACAUUAGCUCUCAGCUCAACUUCGAUGAUUUUAUAUGU